rfam:Triticum urartu cultivar G1812 contig604617, whole genome shotgun sequence.
CUACUUACCUGGACGGUGUCUAUGAGUGAUCAAUAAGGCUCAUGGUCUAGAUCAAUGGCUCACAUUGCACUUUGUGAGUGCGUUGAUCUAUGUUGAUCUACCAUCUUCUUUUUGUGGGAAAGUGAACGUUGUAGUUCGUGAUAGAGGGGCUAUGUGUUCGCGCAGCCCCUAC